rnacentral:rRNA from 2 species
AACUUUCAACAACGGAUCUCUUGGCUCUCGCAUCGAUGAAGAACGCAGCGAAAUGCGAUAAGUAAUGUGAAUUGCAGAAUUCAGUGAAUCAUCGAAUCUUUGAACGCACCUUGCGCCCCUUGGUAUUCCGAGGGGCAUGCCUGUUUGAGUGUCAU